rnacentral:rRNA from 1 species
UACGUAGGUGGCAAGCGUUGUCCGGAUUUACUGGGUGUAAAGGGCGUGUAGGCGGGACUGCAAGUCAGAUGUGAAAACCACGGGCUCAACCUGUGGCCUGCAUUUGAAACUGUAGUUCUUGAGUACUGGAGAGGCAGACGGGAUUCCUAGUGUAGCGGUGAAAUGCGUAGAUAUUAGGAGGAACACCAGUGGCGAAGGCGGUCUGCUGGACAGCAACUGACGCUGAGGCGCGAAAGCGUGGGGAGCAAACAGG